CGGGACAGCCUCGGGAAACCGUGGGUAAUACCGGAUACUCCGGGACGGCCGCAUGCCCGGCCCGGGAAAGCCCAGACGGGAGGGGAUGGGCCCGCGGCCUGUUAGCUAGUCGGCGGGGUAACGGCCCACCGAGGCGAUUAUGGGUAGCCGGGUUGAGAGACCGACCGGCCAGAUUGGGACUGAGACACGGCCCAGACUCCUACGGGAGGCAGCAGUGGGGAAUCUUGCGCAAUGGGCGGAAGCCUGACGCAGCGACGCCGCGUGCGGGACGAAGGCCUUCGGGUCGUAAACCGCUUUCAGCAGGGACGAGGCCCUCACGGUGACGGUACCUGCAGAAGAAGCCCCGGCUAACUACGUGCCAGCAGCCGCGGUAAUACGUAGGGGGCGAGCGUUAUCCGGAUUCAUUGGGCGUAAAGCGCGCGUAGGCGGCCUGUUAGGUCGGGGGUCAAAUACCGGGGCUCAACCCCGGUCCGCCCCCGAUACCGGCAGGCUUGAGUCUGGUAGGGGAAGGCGGAAUUCCCAGUGUUGCGGUGGAAUGCGCAGAUAUUGGGAAGAACACCGGCGGCGAAGGCGGCCUUCUGGGCCACGACUGACGCUGAGGCGCGAAAGCUAGGGGAGCGAACAGGAUUAGAUACCCUGGUAGUCCUAGCCGUAAACGAUGGA
rnacentral:rRNA from 1 species